GACGUAGGGCGCGAGCGUUGUCCGGAUUUAUUGGGCGUAAAGAGCUCGUAGGCGGCUUGUCGCGUCGUCCGUGAAAAACCCGGGGGCUCAACUCCGGGCUUGCGGGGCGAUACGGGCAGGCUAGAGUUCGGUAGGGGGAGACUGGAAUUCCUGGUGUAGCGGUGAAAUGCGCAGAUAUCAGGAGGAACACCGGUGGCGAAGGCAGCUCGCUGGGACGGUACUGACGCUAAGGCGCGAAAAGCGUGGGGAGCGAACAGG
rnacentral:rRNA from 1 species